rnacentral:rRNA from 1 species
GAUGAACGCUGGCGGCGUGCUUAACACAUGCAAGUCGAACGGAACACCCUUGAAGGAGUUUUCGGACAACAGAUAGGACUGUUUAGUGGCGGACGGGUGAGUAACGCGUGAGUAACCUGCCUUGGAGUGGGGAAUAACAGCUGGAAACAGCUGCUAAUACCGCAUAAUAUGUCUGAAUCGCAUGGUUCUGGACAUCAAAGAUUUAUCGCUCUGAGAUGGACUCGCGUCUGAUUAGCUGGUUGGCGGGGUAACGGCCCACCAAGGCGACGAUCAGUAGCCGGACUGAGAGGUUGGCCGGCCACAUUGGGACUGAGACACGGCCCAG